rnacentral:rRNA from 1 species
GCUUCUUUUUCCCCGGAGCUUGCUCCACCGGAAAAAGAAGAGUGGCGAACGGGUGAGUAACACGUGGGUAACCUGCCCAUCAGAAGGGGAUAACACUUGGAAACAGGUGCUAAUACCGUAUAACAAUCGAAACCGCAUGGUUUUGAUUUGAAAGGCGCUUUCGGGUGUCGCUGAUGGAUGGACCCGCGGUGCAUUAGCUAGUUGGUGAGGUAACGGCUCACCAAGGCCACGAUGCAUAGCCGACCUGAGAGGGUGAUCGGCCACAUUGGGACUGAGACACGGCCCAAACUCCUACGGGAGGCAGCAGUAGGGAAUCUUCGGCAAUGGACGAAAGUCUGACCGAGCAACGCCGCGUGAGUGAAGAAGGUUUUCGGAUCGUAAAACUCAGUUGUUAGAGAAGAACAAGGAUGAGAGUAACUGUUCAUCCCUUGACGGUAUCUAACCAGAAAGCCACGGCUAACUACGUGCCAGCAGCCGCGGUAAUACGUAGGUGGCAAGCGUUGUCCGGAUUUAUUGGGCGUAAAGCGAGCGCAGGCGGUUUCUUAAGUCUGAUGUGAAAGCCCCCGGCUCAACCGGGGAGGGUCAUUGGAAACUGGGAGACUUGAGUGCAGAAGAGGAGAGUGGAAUUCCAUGUGUAGCGGUGAAAUGCGUAGAUAUAUGGAGGAACACCAGUGGCGAAGGCGGCUCUCUGGUCUGUAACUGACGCUGAGGCUCGAAAGCGU